UACAGAGGGUGCAAGCGUUAAUCGGAAUUACUGGGCGUAAAGCGCGCGUAGGUGGUUUGUUAAGUUGGAUGUGAAAUCCCCGGGCUCAACCUGGGAACUGCAUUCAAAACUGACAAGCUAGAGUAUGGUAGAGGGUGGUGGAAUUUCCUGUGUAGCGGUGAAAUGCGUAGAUAUAGGAAAGAACACCAGUGGCGAAGGCGACCACCUGGACUGAUACUGACACUGAGGUGCGAAAGCGUGGGGAGCAAACAGG
rnacentral:rRNA from 1 species